rnacentral:rRNA from 2 species
ACUUUUGGCAGGGAAGAAAAGGCUCUGGCUAAUACCUGGAGCUGCUGACGGUACCUGCAGAAUAAGCACCGGCUAACUACGUGCCAGCAGCCGCGGUAAUACGUAGGGUGCAAGCGUUAAUCGGAAUUACUGGGCGUAAAGCGUGCGCAGGCGGUUCGGCAAGAAGGAUGUGAAAUCCCGGGGCUUAACCUCGGAACUGCAUUCUUAACUGCCGGGCUAGAGUAUGUCAGAGGGGGGUAGAAUUCCACGUGUAGCAGUGAAAUGCGUAGAGAUGUGGAGGAAUACCGAUGGCGAAGGCAGCCCCCUGGGAUAAUACUGACGCUCAUGCACGAAAGCGUGGGGAGCAAACAGGAUUAGAUACCCUGGUAGUCCACGCCCUAAACGAUGUCAACUAGCUGUUGGGGCCUUCGGGCCUUAGUAGCGCAGCUAACGCGUGAAGUUGACCGCCUGGGGAGUACGGUCGCAAGAUUAAAACUCAAAGGAAUUGACGGGGACCCGCACAAGCGGUGGAUGAUGUGGAUUAAUUCGAUGCAACGCGAAAAACCUUACCUACCCUUGACAUGUCUGGAAUCCCGAAGAGAUUUGGGAGUGCUCGCAAGAGAACCGGAACACAGGUGCUG